rnacentral:rRNA from 1 species
GCGGCUUAAUUUGACUCAACACGGGGAAGCUUACCCGGUCCGGACACUUUGACGAUUGACAGAUUGAGAGCUCUUUCUUGAUAAAGUGGUUGGUGGUGCAUGGCCGUUCUUAGUUCGUGGAGUGAUUUGUCUGGUUAAUUCCGAUAACGAACGAGACUCUAGCUUACUAAAUAGUCCGUGCGGCUGCGGCCGACACGGUGUUACUUCUUAGAAGGAUUUAUGGCGGUUCAGUCAUAAGAAAGAGAGCAAUAACAGGUCUGUGAUGCCCUUAGAUGUCCGGGGCCGCACGCGCGCUACACUGGAGCCCACAGUGAGCGUGCUACUUGCGUCGAAAGGCGUGAGGAAUCUCGUAAGCUUCUCCGUAUCUGGGAUUGCGGCAUGUAAUUGUGCCGCGUGAACGCGGAAUCCCGAGUAAGUGCCAAUCAUCAUUUCGCAUUGAUUACGUCCCUGCCCUUUGUACACACCGCCCGUCGCUACUACCGAUUGACUCGUCCAGUGAGGCAUCGGGACGGGCGCGGUGAGCUGUCUUCGGAUGGCGCGCCGUGCCUGAAACUUUGCCAAACUGUCCGAGUUAGAGGAAGUAAAAGUCGUAACAAGGUUUCCGUAGGUGAACCUGCGGAAGGAUC